UAUAGAUGAAGAAACUGAGGCUUAAUAAUGUUAAAUGACUAUCCUAUCAUCACACAAAAAUAAGAACAAAAAGUGGAAUUUGAACCAGCCUCCUUAGCUCCAGAUGAGGAAAUUGAGGCUCAUGAAGAUAAAUUGACUUGAGGAAGGUCACCCAGGCUAAGUGGCUAAACUAGGAUUGAAUUCAAAUCUGUGUGACUCCCAAAUCUGUGACUCCCAGUCUAACAUGCCCAGGUAAAUUCUAUAAGGAUAGAGUUGAUUCUUCAAAUCCUAGUCAGGAAAAUUCACUUGAAAGCUUUGGAUUAGAGGACAUAAGGUAGUUUUCUGAGCAGAGAGCUGAUGCCCAACUCAUGAGGAGGCGGUGUGAUCCACAGUACCAAGCCACAUGGACAUGAACAGAUCUUCCUCCAGGUGUCCACCACAAAAAAAACGCACAAAUGAGGAACAGGAAGAAGGUGUCCCCAAAGGAGAACAGGAAUGAUUCUACACAUUUGACAGAACCAGAGAGUUCAGAAUGAAAAUUUGUCUAGAUUAAUAAAAAAGAAAAAUAAACAACAAAGUAACUCA